UUACCUGGCCUUGACAUGCAUAUAGUAGAAGGGUGAAAGCCUGACGAGGUAGCAAUACCAGUACGCACAGGUGCUGCAUGGCUGUCGUCGGCUCGUGUCGUGAGAUGUUGGGUUAAGUCCCGCAACGAGCGCAACCCCUGUGUCCUGUUGCCACCCGGGAGCAAUCCUGGAGCACUCUGGACAGGCUGCCUCGCUUAAACGAGGAGGAAGGUGGGGAUGACGUCAAGUCAGUAUGGCCCUUACGGCCAGGGCUGCACACGUACUACAAUGGCUGGCACAAAGGGAAGCUAGACCGUCGGGUGGAGCAAAUCCCCCAAAACCAGCCCCAGUUCAGAUUGUCGUCUGCAACUCGACGGCAUGAAGCUGGAAUCGCUAGUAAUGGCGCAUCAGCUACGGCGCCGUGAAUACGUUCCCAGGCCUUGUACACACCGCCCGUCACAUCAUGAAAGCCGUUUGUACCCGAAGUCGCUGUGUUAACCGCAAGGAGACAGGCGCCGAAGGUAUGGAUGGUGAUUGGGAUGAAGUCGUAACAAGGUAGCC
rnacentral:rRNA from 1 species